CUUCCCUCAAACCUGACCCACUGCACCCUGGAGGGGGGUGCAGGUGGGAGUGUGGGUGUGUGUGCAGGUGUGUGUGGGGGUGCUUUGGCUUCUGGGAGCAGGAGCCAGGCCUGGGGAGCCUGUGGAGCCCCCUGCAGCAGGCUCUGGUGGUGAGUGGGCUUGAGAGCAGCUGUGCCCCAGGCCCACCUUGUGUGGGUGCCCGGUCUCCUGCCCACUCAGGGCUCAGCCCCGAGGCCUGGCUCUCUGGGUGGAGUCUCCCAGCCCCUACCCCGGGCACAGAGGGCUGGGCUGGGGGGUUGCAAGGGGAAGGGCUUUGGCUGCAGGGCGGGGAUGGAGGCAGGGCUGAGAGGUUGACUGGACGUGGCCCCACGGCUUUGGCAGCGGCUCAGGACCAGGAUCAGUGGGCAGUGGGACCCCUCCUCGGGCCCGGGACCCCUGCUCCGGCCCAGGCCCUGGAUUCCCUCCCGCCGAAAGAAGGAGCUUCCCCUGGCUUUAACCUCAUUCUGGAUUGUGAUGGCUGACUGCAGUCCACAGACAGUGAUGGAUUAAGUAUUUUUGAGAAGCAGCCUACAAUUAGACCACGGCGGUUCCUCCGAAGCCUCCGGCUGCAGUCGUUAUGUUAUGAAUCUAAAGGUGAGGGCUCAUUUAGAUGGUUUUCCGGGUUUCAGCGCAAGUCACCCGAACUACCAGAAGGGUUAAGAGAGACCAAGGCGGGAGCGUCCGACCCUUCCGACCUUGAACGGCUGUGGCUAUCCUAGUGCAGAUGGAAAGCUCUGGACCAGGGGAGGGGCUGCGGGCUAUGGCCGGGGACUGAGAGAGGCCCCAAAGCCACCUGGCUGCAAGGCCGGUUGGCUCUCCCGCCCUCCAAGAAGGCUAGGGCUUGUCAGGGACUUCCUCUGCAGCAUAGCUGCUGGACCUGGGAUUUUCAGUUGUUGAUGCAGCUGCCUAUGGAGUCACGUAUCCGGGGAGAGGGGGACAGAGGCAGAAUUCACUCGCCUGAUGGGGCAGAAGGGGAGUUUUCUACUUCUCUGCAAGCCCAACUGUCACUAGCGGUGCACUACAAGCAGACACAGGGACUCCUCCGUGCUCUCUGAUGCCCCUCCUGUCCCCCCAGCCACCACCACCCGCUCCCAGGCCUGCAAUCCCCAUGCCCGCUCGGUGCCAACGUACUAUUGGGCCCCCAGCGCCCCGCCAUCGCCCCGGACCCAAGCAACUCUGCUUCUGAUUCCAGCCCGGCCAGCCCCUGCCAAACCAGAAUGGAUUUCUCUAUUCUCCCGUGAGCACUGAGCUUCCUUAUUAAAUACUGCUCUCUUCUUUUUCAUGGUAUUAAUUAAGAGCUCACUAGGGGUAGAUAUGCAAGAUAAUGAGAUCAUCUGGACCUUGUUUUGCCUCCAUCCUUCCAAAGUGCCUCGAAUUGGGUCUUGCUUUUUAAAGCCGCAGGGCCUAAGGAAGCUGAAACAACCCGGCGGGAGCCCGGCUAGCCACAGAAGAAGGCUCUCCCUGCCAGGGCCUGUCGUUAAGGCCCAAGGGGCUGCGUGACGGCCAACCGGCUACUGCCCGUGGACCGCACGGUAGCGCUUGUCGCAGUGAUGGCGUGGCCACCCCCCGCCCGCUAAGCCUAUGUCUUCAACUAAAGAGUACAGGCUCCUGGAAACCCCAGCGGGGCUCCCUUCCUCCCUCGCUAAUUGUGGAGCCAGUAACAAGGAGCCUGCUGCUGGGGUGACCCUGUUAGCUUCGUAGCAGAAAAUGCCUUACCAGGGAGGCUCCCUUCAGAGCCGCGGGAGGGCAGGAGGGGAGAAGGUGACGGCCCAGGGCUUCCUGAGGGGUUAAGGGGAGGCAUCGGUCACCCCCUCCUUCGAGAAAAUUCCCUUGGUCAAUACCCGUUAACCUAUGGCUACCCCGCACCUCCGCUGUGGAAAUUUAAAAACACGUGUGGCAUGUGCUUUCUUGUUUUCUGGUACAUGGCUGAGAGCAAGUCCCGUCUCCAUGCUAGUGGAGGCAGAGAGGAGAUGGUGGGCAGAGCCUCGUUUCAAACCCAGUUUCCUGGUCAACUAUUUUCAUUGGCCUUUGGGCAGAUUUGUCUAUCUUUUCUAAAGGAUUAGCAAUCUGGGCUCCACCCUGAGUCACGCUACCCCCUCACGACAACAAAAUAUUUCCUUGAGCCGUAGGUGUUGAUUGUCCAGAGUCUGAAGCUUUCUGUGUGUAAAGAUAAGGGGGGGGGCUCCCCGCCUGGAAAGGGUCGAUUGCAGAAUAGGAACAGAUGAUUCUAUCAGAGCCGGACUGUAUCAAUGUGAAAGCCAGCUUUCUUCUCGGGUGCAUAUUAACCCGAGGCAGAGAAGGUUGAGGGAUAAGUCAAUGAUUAUGGCGUCCAAGUCUUGAAAGAGGGGCUCUACCCUCUCCAGUCAAUACCCUGAGAAUGGAGAGGUUAAGUUGGACCCGGGGUUAAUCUGUGUGGAGUUGGCUUCAGGCUUCUAGAAAAACUAAUUUUAGGUUUAGAUCCUGGGCCAGCAGUCAGCAUUGGGCUUAGUUAUUUAUGCCAUGUAUAAAAAGUGACAGCAAUUAUACUUUGAAUUACCUUAUAAUGAUGUAGGUUGAUACUCUGCCUCAUCUUUUGGACAAAGGGCAUGUUUUAUGAGCUGCAAUUAAGCAAUUAAGAUGUGCCCUGCUUAAGAAAUGGGGGUCAUUUUCCAUCAUUAAAAAAUAAUGGCCAUUUGAGAUGAAAACUAAUAAUACUUUCAAUUCUGACCCAAACCCUUUCUGAUUAACCAGGAUCUGGGUUAAAAAUGACUGACCCAAAGAGGAUGCUUAAAUUCUAGAAAAAUGGGUGGAGGCCUAAGUGAAGGCAGAGCUUCUUUAUCUGCACUUCGGGGGUCUUCCAAAUGGCUGAAGGAACCCCAUCUCUGAAGAUGGCCUCAUUGCUCUGAUUUAGGACUCCCCCUGACUAGAGACAGAGGGAUGGACAAGGAGACCUCAGUGACUUUUCCUAUCGGAUUCGCUAGUGUGAUAAUGAAGUUGCAUCCCACCUUGAGUCAUCCUAAGACACCUUUGGCUGUGGCUUUCACUUGCAGCAUCCUAGAGCUGCUCCAGAGUGUUCAUAACUUGACCUCUCACACGUGUCUUCCCCAUGACCAUCUUCUCCCCUCCCAUCCG
rnacentral:lncRNA from 1 species